rnacentral:rRNA from 1 species
UACGUAGGGGGCAAGCGUUAUCCGGAAUUACUGGGUGUAAAGGGAGCGUAGACGGUUAAGUAAGUCUGGAGUGAAAGGCCGGGGCCCAACCCCGGGACUGCUCUGGAAACUAUUGAACUUGAGUGCAGGAGAGGUAAGCGGAAUUCCUAGUGUAGCGGUGAAAUGCGUAGAUAUUAGGAAGAACACCAGUGGCGAAGGCGGAUGACUGGACGACAACUGACGGUGAGGCGCGAAAGCGUGGGGAGCAAACAGG